rnacentral:rRNA from 1 species
GACGAACGCUGGCGGCGUGCUUAACACAUGCAAGUCGAACGAAGUGGCGAACGGGUGAGUAACGCGUACUCAUCCUGCCCUUCAGAGGGGGACAACAGUUGGAAACGAAUGCUAAUACCGCAUAAUGAAGACGGGGAUUGCGUCGGAUUAGCUCGUUGGAGGGGGAACGGCCAACCAAGGCGACGAUACGUAGCCGGUCUGAGAGGAUGAACGGCCACAUUGGGACUGAGACACGGCCCAGACUCCUACGGGAGGCAGCAGUGGGGAAUCUUCCGCAAUGGACGAAAGUCUGACGGAGCAACGCCGCGUGAGUGAUGACGGCUUUCGGGUUGUAAAGCUCUGUUAUGCGGGACGCGGUACCGGAAUAGAAAGCCACGGCUAACUACGUGCCAGCCGCCGCGGUAAUAC